rnacentral:rRNA from 1 species
CCUACGGGAGGCAGCAGUGGGGAAUAUUGCACAAUGGGCGAAAGCCUGAUGCAGCAACGCCGCGUGAAGGAAGAAGGGUUUCGGCUCGUAAACUUCUAUCAACAGGGAAGAAAGAAAUGACGGUACCGGAAUACGAAGCUCCGGCUAACUACGUGCCAGCAGCCGCGGUACUACGUAGGGGGCAAACGUUAUCCGGAAUUACUGGGUGUAAAGGGUGAGUAGGCGGCAUGGUAAGCCAGGUGGGAAAGCCUUGGGCUUAACCCGAGGAUUGCAUUUGAUACUAUCAAGCUAGAGUACAGGAGAGGAAAGCGGAAUUCCUGGUGUAGCGGUGAAAUGCGUAGAUAUUAGGAAGAACACCAGUGGCGAAGGCAGCUUACUGGACUGAAACUGACGCUGAGGCACGAAAGCGUGGGGAGCGAACAGGAUUAGAUACCCUUGUAGUC